GAGCUUUCCUAAGAAGUGUCACUGCUC
rnacentral:piRNA from 1 species